rnacentral:rRNA from 1 species
CAGUAGCCGCGGUAAUACGGAGGGAGCUAGCGUUGUUCGGAAUUACUGGGCGUAAAGCGCGCGUAGGCGGUUACUCAAGUCAGAGGUGAAAGCCCGGGGCUCAACCCCGGAACUGCCUUUGAAACUAGGUGACUAGAAUCUUGGAGAGGUCAGUGGAAUUCCGAGUGUAGAGGUGAAAUUCGUAGAUAUUCGGAAGAACACCAGUGGCCAAGGCGACUGACUGGACAAGUAUUGACGCUGAGGUGCGAAAGCGUGGGGAGCAAACGGGAUUAGAUACCCCUGUAGUCCCUGUCUCUUAUAA